rnacentral:lncRNA from 1 species
CCAGUGCCAGAAAAUGAACGGCUGAUAUGAGUCAGCAGUUAGCAGGCUGUCCUGUGAAAUAAAAAAAAAAGUGAAGAUGUGGGAGUGGACCCCUGUGAUCCAAGACGUGGCCUCAGCAGAGAGUCUCUGGGACCUCAUCCUUCUCCUGGAUCCUUGCUGCAGGUCUCUUGCUGUUUCCAGUGCCUGCUGCUAAUGUCUGGGUCUCCCAGUUCUGUGGAGUUGCUUCUGGAGGUGGAGGACCAUAACCCCGUCCAGUGAGGAUUUUUCACAGAGCAGUGGACAUUGUUCAGGAGGCCAUGGGCUUCCACAGAGACUCAAUUCUUCACAGCUGAGGUGAAAUGAGGACACUGUCACCAAGUCUCCAUCACGACAGACUGGCACUUGAACAGUAGGAUCCAGCCCCACAGAUUGGCAGAAUACAGAUAAGAACCAAGGUUCUUUGCUGACUGAGUCAACGGCUCUAUAUCCAUGUGGACUAAUCUCAUCUCCCUCUGGAGGAACCUGGGGCUAUGUGGACUGUUUGCUGUUGCCUGAUGAGUCUGUGGAUCUGUUUCUUCCACUCAGCUGCUAGCUAAGAAUAUGGCAAAUCACUUCACUUGUCUGCACCUCAGAGGUCUCCUCCCUUAGACGGUGAUUAGAACCUUGCAGAAUUAUUGUCUAGGUUAAACCAGGACAAAAAAAAUCUACUGAACUGUGUCCAGCCAGACACAACUUCCCUCCCAAGCCUUCCCUGGUCUCCCAUCAGUGUGGCACUAAUUGUACCAUUUGGAGUAUGAACAGUCCUUCAUUCAUUGCCUUCAUUUCUUGCAAGCACAGCAGGCUACGUGGGAUGGUGUUAGUGCACCUGCACUCUGGCUAGUCCAAAGAAAUCCAAGAAAGGCCUGUGAUCCAAGAUCAACAAAUAGAAGACACCACCAGAGACCCAGUAGACAUCUAGAGAAAGGCCAUGUCGGGUGGCUCCAGGUGAGCUGUCUGUUCCUUCUCCAGUCCAGAGUGGGAGUAGGAGAUGGCAGCCAGCCCUUGCAGCUGGAGGGCUAUUGGUCUGGAGCUGCUGAGGGGCCUGUCAGCACAUCACGGAAGUGUCAGCAGCAGCAGAGGUGGAAGCGCAGCUCUGUGAUGUCAUUCACAGCAGCCUGAGGAGUUCUGUUAAUCUGCUACUUAGGAUGUUAAAUGAACCCUGAUCAUUUCUAUGGUUGACAGGAAAGACUGAAGACAACUGCUUUGCAGGCGAAACACGCUCACACUGGCUUCAAGAGCAUCACGCAUUUCUUAGGUAUACUGGCAAGCUGGUGCUUUACCACCCGUUCCCCAGCAUGCUGAUGCUCUGGCCCACUAUAGGCUCCAGAUAAGAGCCAAGCAACUGUGGACUUCUGCAGCUACAGGACAAAACAAACUUUUCUUCCUGGUUUCUCGAGCUGUCCAGGAUGACGAUAUACACAUUCCAGUGGGGGUUUCUUCUGAAUCUCUCAGGCAAGCGGUUCUUGCUUGUCUUUUUCGCCUGUACAGAUGACUCCUCGAGCUGAAAGCAUCCCACCGGGAGGUUGCACACAGGAGGCCUCCUUCUCAGCAGGUGUACCUGUCAAUCUGAGAUGGGGGCAGAACUGAAUUGGAAAUAAUUUUAUUUCGACUGUAAAAUCGGACUGUAAGGAUUCCAUCUUUUGUUGGGUCCAGAUUGUGAGAAUCUUGUAGAGAAUUUCACUGUUGUGUUUAUGAACACAUGAAGUCUGUUUGCUUUCUUGGGAUGCCAUUAUAUGUUUGUCAUUUGGGGGGUAAUUCUGGUCUCAAAAAGGAGAUGGAAAGUGCUCGAUUUUCUUUAUGGAGAUCUUGAAGGGAGGGGAGUUGAUUCCUCAUUAAAUAUGUGGUAGAGUUCACCGGUGAAGGUACCUGGACCUGGGCAUUCCUUUGUGGUAGUUUCUGUAGGUUUUAAUUCAUUCUCCUUCCUUUAUAUAGAUCUAUUCAGACUAAUUCUUUUUGGGAGUGGGGGAUGGAGAGUCAUGUCAUUUCAGUCUUUCCAGGACCGUGUCCACUCCAUCUCUGUUCAUCUAAUCUACCAGAAUAUAGUUAUUCAUAUGUCUCAUUUUAAUUUCUUUUGAUUUCCAAGGUUAAGGACAGUAACCUUUCCUGCAUUUUCCAUUCCAGUAAUGAGUCUUCCCGGACCCCCACAUCAACCUAGAUAAAAGUUUAUCAAUUGAUGUUUUCAGAGAACUCGCCCUCGGCUUUGUGCUUCUUCUCUGUUAUUUGUCUCUUCCAAUUUCAUUCACUCCCUUGCUCGCCUUCAGUGUGUGCUUUCUCAUGCUCUUUGGAAGCCUAGUCUGCUCUUUUAUCCCUUCAUGUCUUACAGUGAUGGGUGGCUUACUUACGGGACAGUUUCUUUUCUCCUUUUAAACUGUGCAUCUGUCUCUCAGCACUGCUCCUAUUCCUCUAAGGGUUUAAAUAUUUGAAUCACUUUUUUCAUUCAUUUCCACAUUCUGCCUGAGUUUAUUUUUUGUGUCUUGACCUGACAGUUUUAGGUGGGUUUUAUUUAAUCUCUGCAUAUCUUUGCAAUUAAUGUUCAUAUCUCACUUUUCUGACUUGAUUUUCAUGAGUAGACUUUCUUAUUUCUGUAUGUACUCAGUGUUUUAAAUGUCUGUUUUAAAUAAUUUCCACCAGUUUCACUGGGAAGAGGGUUCAUAAAGAUGCCUUACUGUUGUGGUAUAAACCAACCACAUGGAUUGGUUUUCAGUUAGUUUGUAGGUUGACUUUUUUUUCUUUUUUUUUUUUCUUGAUAGUUUUCAACCUGGAACAUCUGAUAAUCUGUGCAUAGGUUGAUCUUCAAACACCAGCUAUUAUUUUAUAAGCUUUUUUAAAAAUACAUAGGAAUUACAAAUCU